rnacentral:rRNA from 1 species
CCAGACUCCUACGGGAGGCAGCAGUGAGGAAUAUUGGUCAAUGGACGAGAGUCUGAACCAGCCAAGUAGCGUGAAGGAUGACUGCCCUAUGGGUUGUAAACUUCUUUUAUAUGGGAAUAAAAUGUUCCACGUGUGGGAUUUUGUAUGUACCAUAUGAAUAAGGAUCGGCUAACUCCGCGCCAGCAGCCGCGGUAAUACGGAGGAUCCGAGCGUUAUCCGGAUUUAUUGGGUUUAAAGGGAGCGUAGGUGGAUUGUUAAGUCAGUUGUGAAAGUUGGCGGCUCAACCGUGAAAUUGCAGUUGAAACUGGCAGUCUUGAGUACAGUAGAGGUGGGCGGAAUUCGUGGUGUAGCGGUGAAAUGCUUAGAUAUCACGAAGAACCCCGAUUGCGAAGGCAGCUUACUAAACUGUGACUGACAUUGAUGCUCGAAAGUGUGGGUAUCAGACAGGAUUAGAUACCCUUGUA